rnacentral:lncRNA from 1 species
ACACUUGCAUUUUCUGGUCCACAGACUCUUCUCCACAAAAGUUUUCGCCUAAGCUCCAAUCUCCUCCGCUACGCGCGUUUGGGGAUUAUGGUUUAGCUCAUCUCUCUCAGGUAACCCUACUCUUCAAACCCAACUUGCAUCAGUUUGCUUCUAGUAUCACCCCAAGUCGUAUUGGGUUUCCUUCAAUUUUGUGUAUUUCAUAACCAUGGAUCCACGUUUCUGUGAAAAUCCCAACUUUAAUGAUCAAACCAUUUUGCCUGAUAUGUUAAAUGAGUACCCAAGUAGUGAACCUUUGAAAGAUCUUAGCUUUUUGGACCCAAAUCCCAGUAACUCUGCUUUGUCAUCAAGCUCUAGCCCUGAGGGAGAUGAGUUUUCUGAUAGUGUGCUCAAGUACAUAAAUCAGGUGCUCAUGGAGGAGGACAUGGAAUCAAAGCCAUGUAUGUUCCAUGACCCUUUGGUUCUUCAAGCCACUGAGGAGUCUCUUUAUGAGGUUAUUGGAGGAGGGAUCCCAAGACCAAAACCCUCUUUGUGUUGAUCGAAUUGUUCAGAGCCCAGAUGGUGGUUAUUCUUUUGUAAGUUUCAGUGAUUCUACUCAUUCUAGCUCUAGUCCUGGCCCUUCCAGCGACUCUUGCAUGGUCAAUGCUCCGUUUGUAGAAACCAGGAGCUCUAUAUUGCAAAACCCAAUUCCUGAAAACUUUGUUUUCCAGUCCCCUUCCAGGGCUAACAGUCAGUCAUCGACAAAUAGGUAUGGAGAAGGGAAUGGGAAUUGGAUGGUGGGUUCUUAUAGAAGGGAGUUUUUGGUUCCUGAUGUGGUUAGUAAGAAUGAAUNNNNNNNNNNNNNNNNNNNNNNNNNNNNNNNNNNNNNNNNNNNNNNNNNNAAUGUAUCCUAUCAUCGCACCCUUCUUUGUUUCACGCUUCCGAGAGGCAAUAUUCCACUUCUCUGCAUUGUUUGAUAUGUUUGAUUCCAAUUUGCCUCGUGAUGAUCAGAUGAGAUUGGGGUUUGAGAAAGAGUUUAUUGGACGUGAAGUUGUGAAUAUAGUAGCAUGUGAGGGCACUGAAAGAACUGUGAGGCCAGAAACAUAUAAGCAGUGGCAGGUACGGAACAUGAGGGCUGGGUUCAGGCAGCUGCCGUUGGACCGUGAGGUCAUGAACAAAAUAAAGGAUAAGGUAAAAAUGGGGUACAACCCUGAUUUUGUGGUUGAUGAAGAUGGCCGCUGGAUGCUGCAGGGAUGGAAGGGCAGAAUUAUGUGUGGUUCUGCCUGUUGGGCACCGUCUAAGAGUUGAAAUGCGUGAUUGUUAGAACUGACUCCCACAAUUUGUCAAAUAUAACUAAUCAAAAUUGAAGGUUGAGAGCAAGUUCUAGAAUCUGGUAGUUUUGGUAAAACAGGUUAAGUGUUAGAAUCAGCUUUGGUAAAACAAGUUUGAGGUAAGGGAAGUUUUGGGGAAUAGUUUUGUUUUGUAAACUUAUUAUCUUGCUCUUGAGUUGUAUAUGCUGCUGCUAAAAAUGGUUAUUGUGUUUAGCUUUUCAUCAUAUUAUUAUUUGAUACUAUGUAGAAAAUGAUGAAGAGAAAAAAUAAACUCUUUUAUUGAAUCAUUUAAGUUACAACCAAGUGUAUAUAUACAAGUCUAGCCAUACCUAGCCAUACCAGCCAUACUCAUGGCAGUAAGGUAGAUGACUUACUUACACAAGGUAUGGUGUAGUCAGCAUGCUACACCAUAUUUUAUUAUAGAGUAGGUAAGGUGAUGAACACUACAUCAUUCUUUACUGUAGACUACACCAUAUUUUCUCUACUGUAGAAUAGUAUGUUGAUUAUAUAUUUCUAUAUAUUUCAAUAGUUCUAAAAACCUUGUGUCUAGAAUUCUCUCUAGCUAGAUAGCUCUAGAAGUCAUAUGUUUCUAGUUCUUUCUCUAGUCUUAUUUAAAUUUAGUUUCAGCUGUGUUUUGGUAACAACACCAACAGACAAAGUUGCAGCCCUUGUAUUUGAGUAGUGAAAGUUUUUCCAAGUAAAGUUGUCUCUUGUUCUUUGUUUCUGGUGUUCUUCUUUGUUAUUGGUUUUGGUUCUGAGCAAGAGUAUUUUGUCCUCUCUUUGGUUGAAACCAACACGAAGGUGGACUCUCUACGACGGUCAAGUCUUAUCGAAAAGCUAUAGAUGACCUUAAGAAGCAAGAUGAAUCUGACCGAAAGGCGCGUAAGUCAGACCUGGGGGUCCUCUUGCAGCUUAAUUACAUGUUCAACUUAGCAACUGGCAAGUGGCGAACAGGUGGAUAGGUUAAUCCAACUCGGUGACCAGUGCACCGAAACUCAUAGACGGAUCCAGGCUUAAUGUUUCUAUUUUCAAGCUCUUUGCAUCUUGAUCAAAUUCUGGUUUAUCAUUUGCAGCAAUUUCCAACUAUGAGCUUUCCAACAACUAAUGUUUAUGCUUCUUUAGACUAUACAAGUACUUCAAAAAUUAAAGAUCUAAUACAUUAAUGAAAUGAUGAAGGAUGUGCCGUAGAGACCGGAACCCAUGACCAACACAUCUGUAGCCCUGGAGGGCAGUUUCUAUAUCGGUUGAAAGCUAAAACCCCAGCCAAAGUCAUCAUCCAAAAAGAAGAAUAAACCCAAAUUAGUCAAAUUGAGAGCUCCAUAUGUCUGAGACUUUUAAGUCUUCCGAGACUUUUAGUCGGAAAAAAAAUAAAACUAAAAACUAUUUCCGAGGCUAUAUUCUUAUUCUAGUGGUUGCUUUCGUAGCUCAGACUGUAAGCUUAGCUGGUUUAGUAUAAUUGUAAAAAACCUUUCUGUUAAAUUCAUUCCUGCUAGGCUGCUAAUUACUCAGAAAUUUACAAAGCUUUCUUCUUGUUCUUCAGUUCUCUCUCUUUUUCAUUCAAGCUUAUCUACCUCAGCUAUCAGCCUGAGAGCUCCAUCUCCUCUGCUUCGAACUCAUCUCUUUUGACGCGCACUUGCGAUCAGGGUUUGGCAUAUCUCUCUCUCUCAGGUAAGCAGACUCUUCAAACCCAAAACUCGCAUCAAUUUGCUUCUUCAUUUCACCCAACUGGAAUUGGGUUUCCUUCAAUUUUGUGAAUUUCAAAAUAAUGGAUUCACCUUUCUCUGAAUAUCCCAAUUUCAACGAUCAAACCCUUUUACUCGAUAUUGUUAGGAUUGUGGCUCAAAACUAAUUCCUUGUCUGUUUUGGAUUCUUUACUUCUGAAGGUUUUGGGUAAGUUAUUCUAGUGUAUCUAGGAUUCUUAGAGUUUAUCCUUAGGAGUAAAGGUUUAGGAUUCUUGCUAUGGUUCUAAAUCCUAUUGUAAGUCAAACUAAUUGAGAGUCUAUAAAUAGGACAUUAGAGACAUAGUUUUAGGUGUGGAUCAAUUGAGAGUUUAGAGUAUUCGAGAGUUGCAAGCUUUGAGAGUUUGGGUGAUUUAAGAGUUCUCUGUUGAGAAUCUAGAGUGUGAGGAGAGAGGUUAUUUGAGGGUGGAAGAACCGUAUUGUUCUUCAGUUGUAAUCUUCUUCUCAUUUAGUGGAUCCACCAUCACCAUCACCGGAGGACGUAGGUCAACUGUUUUGACCGAACCUCGUUAAUAUCUUGUGUUCGCUUGCAUUGAUUUUGGUUAUUGUCUUCAUUCAGUUACGAUCUUGGGCUAGGGAAUUCGGAGGUGACCCGGAUUUCCUAUCAAAGUGGUAUCUAGAGCCUGUGUUCCGUGAGCUAAGCGGAAAGAUGGCGGGGAUUGAAGACGUCGAGAAAAGGGUUGACAAGUUUGAUGGGCAUGAUUUUGUUAUGUGGAGGUCUCAGAUAACUGACUAUCUAAAUGUCAAGAAGUUGUCCAAGCCUUUGCUUGGAGUUAAGCCACAGGGCAUGAAAAAUGUGGAUUGGGAGGAGCUUGACACUCAAGCUUUAGGAGCUAUUCGACUAUCGCUAUCAAAUGAAGUUCGGCGCGAUGUGAUACAUGAGAAAACUACUAAAGGGUUAAUGGAUACCCUCUCAGAGAUCUUUGAGAAGCCAAGCGCAGUUGAGCAGGUGCACUUAUUGAGGAAGUUGUUUUCAAUGAAGAUGGCCAAAGGUGGCUCUAUGCGAAGACAACAAGCAGCGGUUUGUGAUAUUGUCGAACAAUUGGCUACUGUGGAUAUCAUAAUUGGAGAACACCUCAAGGCGUUGGUGUUGCUGACCUCCAUGCCAGAUACUUGGGAUGUUACUGUCAACUCUAUUUGCAGUUCAGCUGGGAAGAAUAAGUUGGUCUACAACGAAGUUCGGGAUACCUUGUUGAGUGAGGAAACUAGGAGGAAGAAGAAUGAUGAUGAAGAGUCGCCUGCGACUACAUCUGCUUUGCUUGUAAGAGGAAGAUCUAGUGUAAAGGAGGGUACGAAUUGUGGUAGAUCAAAGUCGAGGAGUUUUAGAGAUCAAGAUAGAGACAAAGAUAAGGAGUGCUUUUACUGUCAUGAUUUUGGGCAUAUUAGGUAUAAUUGUCCAAAAUUGAAGUCGAAGAGAGCUACUACUGCAAUGGUAGCAAGUGAAGAUGAUGGAGAAUAUUAUGGAGAUGCGCUCAUGGUCACAUCAUGUUUAGAGACGCCACAUGAUGAGUGGAUUUUGGAUACUGGUUGUUCUGAACACAUGUGUCCCAAUAGGGAUUGGUUUUCUUCCUACAAGUCUGUGAAGGGAGGUCUAGUGAGGUCGGUUGGUGCACAAACCUACAAAGUUGCUGGUGUUGGAACAAUCAAAAUUAAGGUACAUGAUGGAUCAGUGAGGAGUUUAGAGAAUGUUCUCCAUGUUCCUAAGUUGGAUAGGAAUCUGAUAUCUUUGGGAACUUUAGAUUCGGAAGGCCACAAGAUUGUUGGUCAUGAUGGAAAUAUGAAAGUUUUGAAGGGGCACUCGUAGUAAUGAAAGGUAAGAAGGUAAAUGGUCUCUAUCGUUUAGAAGGGAGCUUUGUUCGAGGUGGAACAUGUGGUUCCGUUAAGAGUUUUGUUCGAGGUGGAAAGAUUGGCAAUCUUGGUUCCUAUUGGCAUUCAAGGGAGAUGAGCAGUAGUAAAUGCGGAGGAAUGAAAUCAGCUUCUAAAAAGGUGAAAUUUGAGGAGCAACCAACAUUGCAGCAGUCCUUAAAAGGAGGUAGACCCAUAAGGAUCCCGACACAAGUUUGUGGUGGAGAUAUGCUAGUUCAUGCAUAUUCCACAAUUGAGGUGUCACCUACUUCAGUGAGUAGUGAGAAAGUUGAGAAGCAAACUUGGUGUUUUAAGAGUGAUGCGUCUAGAGAAGAUAUCGUUCAUGGUGGAGAAUAUGUUCAGAGGAAUGUUGCUCGUGGUGAGUUGUGCAAACCGUUGAAGAUCGCUCCCAUUAGGUUUGACAACUUUAGUGGAGACUUGGAUUGCAUGCAAGUGGCUGCGCUAUGCAUGUUUGAGGGAAAGAGUUCAUGUCCAAGGGUCAAGUUUGAGUGUUUCUCAAACAUGGCUAACUCGUCUUGCUGUUGAGGGCGCCAUGUGGCACAUUGAGGUGUGAUGGUGAUCGUGGCUCGUUGAGAAGAGUCAAGGAAGCUUGCGUUUAGUGGAAGGUUGGAGAUUUUGAGCCGAGGUGGAAAUUGUUAGGAUUGCGGCUCAAAACUAAUUCCUUGUUUGUUUUGGAUUCUUUACUUCUGAAGGUUUUGAGUAAGUUAUUCUAGUGUAUCUAGGAUUCCUAGAGUUUAUCCUUAGGAGUAAAGGUUUAGGAUUCUUGCUAUGGUUCUAAAUCUUAUUGUAAGUCGAACUAGUUGAGAGUCUAUAAAUAGGACAUUAGAGACAUAGUUUUAGGUGUGGAUCAAUUGAGAGUUUAGAGUAUUCGAGAGUUGCAAGCUUUGAGAGUUUGGGUGAUUUAAGAGUUCUCUGUUGAGAAUCUAGAGUGUGAGGAGAGAGGUUAUUUGAGGGUGGAAGAACCGUAUUGUUCUUCAGUUGUAAUCUUCUUCUCGUUUAGUGGAUCCACAAUCACCAUCACCGGAGGACGUAGGUCAACUGUUUUGACCGAACCUCGUUAAUAUCUUGUGUUCGCUUGCAUUGAUUUUGGUUAUUGUCUUCAUUCAGUUACGAUCUUGGGCUAGGGAAUUCGGAGGGUGACCCGGAUUUCCUAUCAGAUAUGUUGAACGAGUACCCAAGUGUUGACCCUUUUGAUCAUCUUAGCUUUUUGGACCCAAACCCCAUGAACUCUGCUCUGUCUUCGAGCUUUAGCCCUGUAGGAGAUGAUGGUGAGUUUUCUAACACUGUGAUCAAGCACAUAAAUCAGGUGCUUAUGGAGGAGGACAUGGAGCCAACACCAUGUCUGUUCCCUGAUCGUUUGGUUCUUCAAGCCACUGAGGAGUCUCUUUAUGAGAUUAUUGGAGGAGGGAAGUGCUCAACUUCCCAAGACCAAAACCCUCUUUGGGUUGAUCAAAAUGAGUAUGGAAAUGAGAUGGUGGGUUCUUAUAGGAGUGAGCUUAUGGUUCCUGAUGAGGUUAGUAAGAAGGAAUUGUUAGUGCAAUUUGACCGAGGGGCAGAGGACGGUAGUAAGUUUCUUCCUAGAGGUCAGUUGAUUACGGCGGAGGACAACAAGCCGUAUAAUGUGGCGAAUAGCAAGGCAGGAAAUGUGGUUGUUACAACCCAGAAGAAUGGAAGUGAGCAUGUCCGUGUUGGUUCAAGAGGAAAGAAUAGUCAUCUGAGGGAGGAGAUAGAGUUGGAGGAUGGGAGGAAUGACAAGCAAUCUGUGGUUUAUGUGGAUGAUGAGGAGGGUGAGCUGUCUGAUAGUUUCGGCAAGGCGUUGCUCAGCGGUAAGGCUGUUGAAAGUAAAGAGGAUCAAGUCUGUCAGAAUGGAGCUAACAAUGGCCAGCAGCAGGAUGUGCUAGUCAGUCAGAAGGCUUGUGGCAUGAAACGAGGCAACAAGAAGGAAGUGAUAGAUUUGAGGCGUCUUCUGAUUUCAUGUGCAGAAGCUGUUGCUGUUGAUGAUCGAUGGACUGCUAGUGAGCUACUAAAGCAAAUUAGGUUAUGCGAUGAAAGGUGGUUUCGACGUGGAUGUUGCGUUAUGUAAUAGUGUGUUGGAUAUGUAUUCGAAAUGUGGUGAUUUGAGUGAUGCAUUGAGAGUUUUUGAGAAGAUGGGUCGAAGAAGUGUUUUGUCGUGGACUUCAAUGAUAGCCGGUUAUGUUAGAGAAGCUCUUUCGGAUAAGGCAAUUGAGUUGUUUUGUGAAAUGGAAACGGAUGGUGUUAUCCCAGAUGUUUAUACAAUCACAAGCAUACUUCAUGCAUGUGCUUGUAGCGGCUCAUUGGAAAAGGGUAAGGAUAUACACAAGUAUAUUAGGGAACAUGAUAUGGACUCGAGUUUGUUUGUCUGUAAUUCGCUCAUGGAUAUGUAUGCAAAAUGUGGAAGCAUGGAAGAUGCUGACUCAGUUUUUUCUCAUAUGCCUAUGAAGGACAUCGUGUCAUGGAAUACCAUGAUCGGAGGUUACUCCAAGAACUGCCUUCCAAACGAAGCUCUUGAACUCUUUUCUGAUAUGCAACGGAAAUUUAAACCUGACAGCAUGACCCUUGCCAGUGUCCUUCCUGCUUGUGCAAGCCUAGCAGCUCUCGACAGAGGUCAAGAGAUCCAUGGUUAUUUACUGAGACAUGGAUACUUUUUGGAUCAAUAUGUUGCCAAUGCACUUGUUGACAUGUAUGUCAAGUGCGGGGUGCUAAUUCUUGCUCGGGUACUUUUUGAAAUGAUUCCUGUGAAAGAUCUGAUCUCUUAUACUGUGAUAAUUGCUGGUUAUGGGAUGCAUGGAUUUGGAAAGGAAGCAAUUGCUGCAUUCAAUGAGAUGACAAAGGCUGAAAUUGAACCGGACAGCAUUUCCUUCAUCUCUAUACUUUAUGCUUGCAGUCAUUCUGGAUUGGUUCAGGAAGGAUGGAGAUUCUUUGAUAUUAUGAGAAAUGAUUACAAAAUCGAGCCCAUGUUGGAGCAUUAUGCUUGUAUGGUGGAUCUUCUUGCUCGGACUGGGAAUCUAACCAAGGCAUAUAAAUUUAUUAACAUGAUGCCAAUUGAGCCAGAUGCCACAGUCUGGGGUUCCUUGCUCUGUGGUUGUAGGAUUCACCAUGAUGUGAAACUAGCAGAGAAAGUUGCAGAGCAUGUCUUUGAACUAGAGCCAGAAAACACUGGCUAUUAUAUACUUCUAGCAAAUAUUUAUGCAGAGGCAGAAAAGUGGGAAGAGGUGAAGAAGUUGAGGGAGAGGAUUGGUCGGCGAAGCUUGAAAAAGAAUCCGGGCUGUAGUUGGAUAGAGAUCAAGGGAAAAGUUAAUAUCUUUGUUGCAGGAGGCACUUCACACCCAGAUGCCAUGAAGAUAGAGUCCCUAGUGAAGAAAUUUAGAUCGAGGAUGAAGGAAGAUGGCUACAAUCCUAAAAUGCAGUACGCUUUGAUUAAUGCAGAUGAGGUGGAGAAAGAAGUGGCUCUCUGUGCGCAUAGUGAGAAAUUAGCCAUAGCAUUCGGGAUACUGAACACGCCACCCAGAAAAACCAUACGAGUGACCAAGAAUCUACGAGUCUGUGGCGACUGCCAUGAGAUGGCCAAGUUCAUAUCCAGAACAUCUAGGAGGGAAUUGUUUUGAGAGAUUCUAACCGCUUUCAUCAUAUGAAGGAUGGGAAUUGUUCAUGUAGGGGCUUCUGGUAAACUGAAGUUGGACUUGAAAUGUAAAAGGACACCUCAUUUGAUUCUUUAACUUGAUGUGUUCUCAAACACUAAGCGGGACAUGAGAUUGUUUUCGACCAACAGAUUGGAAGAACUCUAAGUAGGCAUUUGAGUUGGGAAUGAAUCAUGUAUUGGGUCAGUUUGGAAAACAUGCUUGUUUGGUUAUUCCGAGCAGUUUUGCAGUGGAUGACAAAGGGUUAAGUGAGCAUGGAUUUAUCAGUUUGUCCAGGUUCUGCUGUUUCCCUUCGUUNNNNNNNNNNNNNNNNNNNNAAGUCGAAUUGACUGAAUGAGAUGAUAUGGGUAGUGAGCCCAAUAUAUAAUUUGUGCUAGAAGUUAUAUGAUAAGCAGCAUAUAUAACUAGUAGAUGAUAGUGUGACACGUGACCAGCGUGUAUGCACGUCAACCAACACCAUAAAAUAUCAAAGAUGUCCGCAAGUUAGUUGAAUUUGUCUACAGAAUCCCCUUGGAUUCAAUGUAAUUUAGAACAUUAUAUAUGAGAAUACAUGUGUCCUUUUCAUAGGAUGAAUCUCAAUCCUAAUUUUCCAAAGAAAUAGGCUUUACAAAAUGAGUGAUUAAUUGGCUUUCAGAAGUAACCAAUGAAGAUUUUGGUUUAGCCAUAAAGUCAUAAUUGACUUGAGAAUAGGGAACGAUUGCACCAACAUGUGCAUCAAAAAUGUCCCAAAGCCGCUUAGGGGAAGCGGCGGCAUUUUUAUACAAGUAGCAAUAUGCCUUUUGAACCAUAUUCUUUUGGUUCUUGCUUCUUCUCACUCAAAAUAAUGGAUGUCCAUGUGAUAUUUUUAUUUUCAAUAUACGGAUCAUCAUACCAUGACCAUGAUAUCUUAAUUUGUCAUGUUAAAACCUAUAUGUGUCAUAAUCCCAAUGUCAUCUCAUAUGACAUUGUUAGAUUCAACAAUUAUAAUAGUGGUUACAACUUAACCCACUAAUGACACAUAAUCUUCUCUAAUACUCGUGUACAUCCGUAGUCAUUAGAGGUAAUGCAAACGAACUCAUGUCCAUUCUCUCUUAUGCGUUUUCACAUGAUAAUUGUUGGCAAUAUAUCUUUUAGUGCUGAUAAGGGUUCGAUUAGCUUUUGGAGCAUAAAAAGCUUCAAUGAUAAUAAUCAUAGUGCCAUAAAGACAAGAAUUUGACCCAUCUAUCGCUCGUUUUUUAUUAGUUGUAAUGAUUCAAUCAUUUGAGUCACAAAGGGAUUAUAAGACAUUAUUCCACAAAUAAUUAUCUGCUUUUAGGUAUUGUGUGGGUAGUCAUACUAUCGACUUUAAAUAUUUGAUCUCUCCAAGUAACAUACUGGCAAAUUAUAGGAGAUUAGUCAACAAAUGUUCAAGACAUACAGUGAGGGUAAAUAUACUCAAAUAAACAAUUUUUUUUCUGUUACGAUGAACAGUACCUUGUUGACUUUUUUUUGGUUCAGCUGACUUUUCGUCAGAGUUGACCUUUUUCGACACAGUUGACUUUUUCGUCAUAGUUGACUUUCACUUUUUUCAAUUCUUUGUCGAAAAUAUUUUGUCACGUACCCUUUUAACUCAUAUUACCACACCAUGUGCAUUUAUGGUGGAAUUAUUUAUUUCUUUCGAACCAUAUAUCAGAAUAAGACAUGAUCACAGCUUUGAAUAUGCCAUUGCAAUAACAAAUUCAAAUAAAGCUCAAAUCUCAUAGAAAUAUAUUCGAGACUUUAUUAAUAUGCCAACGUACACAUCGAGGUUUUGUAAUCAAAAUCUAAUCCAAAUAAUAAAAAUCAUGACCAAACGUCAUUUAUGAAUUGAGGCAUAGAAGUAUGUACAAGUAUUCUUGGAAAAUAAUGUUCUAAUCAAAAUCUGCAACAUCAAUGUGUUCUUUGCCAGAUUUGAAGUAUGUAAUAGUGAGAUUGACGUCAUUGCCAUCUCCAUCUUCUUCUUAGCUGCAUGAUGAGCAUUUGCUCUCUUAUAUAUUUAUAUACUUUAUAUUGUGCAGCUAAUUUAGCACUUGCCUUGCAAUGCUCAAAAUUAAUGCUUAUUAGAUCAAUGUCUAUAGCAUAUAUACCUCAUCUUCAAAUACCAAGCCAUGUCAUGGCAUUAAGGUGGUUCUCGAUGUCAGUCACCCAUUGGUGAUAUUCAANNNNNNNNNNNNNNNNNNNNNNNNNNNNNNNNNNNNNNNNNNNNNNNNNNAUCUUUUUGGUGGUGUCAUGAUAUAGGUCCUCAGAGACGGUCGAUGGACUGAGCAAGAUGCUUCAAUUUUGGUUCCAGGAGACAUAAUCAGCAUUAAGUUGGGAGAUAUAGUGCCUGCUGAUGCUCGCCUUCUUGAGGGUGAUCCUCUCAAGAUUGACCCAACUCGCAUCAAAUUGCUUCUUCAUUUCACCCAACUGGAAUUGGGUUUCCUUCAAUUUUGUGAAUUUCAAAAUCAUGGAUUCACCUUUCUCUGAAUAUCCCAAUUUCAACGAUCAAACCCUUUUACUCGAUAUGUUGAACGAGUACCCAAGUGUUGACCUUUUUGAUGAUCUUAGCUUUUUGGACCCAAACCCCAUGAACUCUGCUCUGUCUUCGAGCUUUAGCCCUGUAGGAGAUGAUGGUGAGUUUUCUAACACUGUGAUCAAGCACAUAAAUCAGGUGCUUAUGGAGGAGGACAUGGAGCCAACACCAUGUCUGUUCCCUGAUCCUUUGGUUCUUCAAGCCACUGAGGAGUCUCUUUAUGAGAUUAUUGGAGCAGGGAAGUGUUCAACUUCCCUAGACCAAAACCCUCUUUGGGUUGAUCAAAAUGAGUAUGGAAAUGGAAAUGAGAUGGUGGGUUCUUAUAGGAGUGAGCUUAUGGUUCGUGAUGCGGUUAGUAAGAACAAAUUGUUGGUCCAGGGGCAGAGGAUGGUAGUAAGUUUCUUCUUAGAGGUGAGUUGAUUACAGCGGAGGGCAACAAGCCGUAUACUGUGGCGAAUAGCAAGGCAGGAAAUGUGGUUGUUAGGACCCAGAAGAAUGGAAGUGAGCAUGUCCGUGUUGGUUCAAGAGGAAAUAAUAGUCAUCUGAGGGAGGAGGUAGAGUUGGAGGAUGGGAGGAAUGACAAGCAAUCUGUGGUUUAUGUGGAUGAUGAGGAGGGUGAGCUGUCUGAUAGUUUUGGCAAGGCGUUGCUCGGCGGUAAGGCUGUUGAAAGUAAAGAGGAUCAAGUCUGUCAAAAUGGAGCUAACAAUGGCCUGCAGCAGGAUGUGCUAGUCAGUCAGAAGGCUUGUGGCAUGAAACGAGGCAACAAGAAGGAAGUGAUAGAUUUGAGGGGUCUUCUGAUUUCAUGUGCAGAAGCUGUUGCUGUUGAUGAUCGAGGGACUGCUAGUGAGCUACUAAAGCAAAUUAGGCAGCACUCUUCCCCAUUUGGUGAUUAUACUCAGAGGUUGUCUCAUUGCUUUGCAAAUGCUCUUGAAGCGUGGUUGGCUGGCACUGGAAGUGAACUAUAUACUACUUUGGCUACUAAACGAGCGUCGGCUGUAUUAGGAAAGUAAUCUCUUGUAUCUUAUUGUAUCUUGGUUAUCUUGUUGUUUAGGAAAGUAUCAAUUGUAUUAUGGUUGUAUUACGUGAUUAUAGUUGUUUCCUUGUAGGUAAGGAAACCCUCAUGUAUAUGUAUUCUAUCGAUUAUCAAUGAAUUCUAUUCUAGCCAAACUAUCUCUCUUUUAUGGUAUCAGAGCAGGAAUCAAUCUGAUCCUGUCUCUUUGUUUUGCACUCUAUUUCUCGUGCAAUCAUCAUCUUGUUAUCAUUCAACAUGAGCAACAAUAUUAUCCUUCGAAAAGGCAAUCAGCCUAACAUCUUCUUGAAUUCCAAGAAUCAGCUUGGUAUCAUCAAUGGCACCAUCAGGUUCUAUUCUUCAAAUCCCAAGAAUAAUCUUGGCAUGUCUAAAGUAUCAUCUCAGCGCUGGNNNNNNNNNNNNNNNNNNNNNNNNNNNNNNNNNNNNNNNNNNNNNNNNNNUGCCAUGAGAUGGCCAAGUUCAUAUCCAGAACAUCUAGGAGGGAAAUUGUUUUGAGAGAUUCUAACCGCUUUCAUCAUAUGAAGGAUGGGAAUUGUUCAUGUAGGGGCUUCUGGUAAACUGAUGUUGGACUUGAAAUGUAAAAGGACACCUCAUUUGAUUCUUUAACUUGAUGUGUUCUCAAACACUAAGCGGGACAUGAGAUUGUUUUCGACCAACAGAUUGGAAGAACUCUAAAUAGGCAUUUGAGUUGGGAAUGAAUCAUGUAUUGGGUCAGUUUGGAAAACAUGCUUGUUUGGUUAUUCCGAGCAGUUUUGCAGUGGAUGACAAAGGGUUAAGUGAGCAUGGAUUUAUCAGUUUGUCCAGGUUCUGCUGUUUCCCUUCGUUCGUUUUCUGGUCUGGAUAUGCCUCCUACUUCAUUGCUGUUAAUUGUGAUGCAGGAUUUAUGUACUGCAAGUAUAGUGAGAAUUUUAUGUUGUAGAAAAUAAUUAUAAUCUUACCACAUCUUCAAAAAAAGCGAGAGAUUACAUAUGCAAGUGUUGUGUUGGUACUUUUAAUCAUUUUGGUUUAAAAAUACCAGUGACCACGUCGCAGAUCGUUAUUUUAUAAUGACAGCUAUAACAGCUACCCGCUUCUGACUUCCACGCUUACAUUUUCUGGUCCACAGACUCCUCUCCACAAAAGUCUUCGCCUAAGCUCCAAUCUCCUAAUUUCCUCAAAAAAAAAGCUCCAAUCUCCUCUGCUACGCGCAUAUGGGAUUAUGGUUUAGCUCAUCUCGCUCAGGUAACCCUACUCUUCAAACCCAACUUGCAUCAGUUUGCUUCUAGUAUCACCCCAAGUCGAAUUGGGUUUCCUUCAAUUUUGUGUAUUUCAUGACCAUGGAUCCACGAUUCUCUGAAAAUCCCAACUUUAAUGAUCAAACCCUUUUGCCUGAUAUGUUAAAUGAGUACCGAAGUAGUGAACCUUUGAAAGAUCUUAGCUUUUUGGACCCAAAUCCCAGUAACUCUGCUUUGUCAUCAAGCUCUAGCCCUGAGGGAGAUGAGUUUUCUGAUAGUGUGCUCAAGUACAUAAAUCAGGUGCUCAUGGAGGAGGACAUGGAAUCAAAGCCAUGUAUGUUCCAUGACCCUUUGGUUCUUCAAGCCACUGAGGAGUCUCUUUAUGAGGUUAUUGGAGGAGGGAAGUAUCCAACUUCCCAAGACCAAAACCCUCUUUGUGUUGAUCGAAUUGUUCAGAGCCCAGAUGGUGGUUAUUCUUCUGUAAGUUUCAGUGAUUCUACUCAUUCUAGCUCUAGUCCUGGCCCUUCCAGCGACUCUUGCAUGGUCAAUGCUCCGUUUGUAGAAACCAGGAGCU